rnacentral:rRNA from 1 species
UACGUAGGGGGCUAGCGUUGUCCGGAAUCAUUGGGCGUAAAGAGCUCGUAGGCGGUCUGUCGCGUCGGCUGUGAAAACUCGGGGCUCAACCCCGAGCCUGCAGUCGAUACGGGCAGACUAGAGUGCGGUAGGGGAGACUGGAAUUCCUGGUGUAGCGGUGAAAUGCGCAGAUAUCAGGAGGAACACCGGUGGCGAAGGCGGGUCUCUGGGCCGUAACUGACGCUGAGGAGCGAAAGCGUGGGGAGCAAACAGG